UACGUAGGGGGCGAGCGUUGUCCGGAUUCAUUGGGCGUAAAGAGCUCGUAGGCGGCUUGGCAAGUCGGAUGUGAAAACUCCAGGCUCAACCUGGAGCCGCCAUUCGAUACUGCUAUGGCUAGAGUCCGGUAGGGGAGUGUGGAAUUCCCGGUGUAGCGGUGAAAUGCGCAGAUAUCGGGAGGAACACCGAUGGCGAAGGCAGCACUCUGGGCCGGCACUGACGCUGAGGCGCGAAAGCGUGGGGAGCGAACAGG
rnacentral:rRNA from 1 species